UUAAGGUGCGUGAUUGUUGAAACUUAAGGUGCGUGCUUUGUGUUUUUAAAGUGCUUUGUUUAUGUGCUUAAUGUGCGUGUAUUGUAUACUUAAAGUG